CCUCCCUCCCACUCACCCCCCCCUUUGGCAUCCCCGCCGUUGUGUAGCCCCAGUGCGCAUGCGCGGCCCCUCUGGGGCUGGCCCGGGCGCACCUUUUCUCUCUCUCCUGCCACAAAGUGAACGCUCCGCCGCCUAGAUAACCGCCAACUCCCUACUCCACCCCCGCCCGCACCCCCUCCUCCCACUCUCCCGUUCCCAGGUUGGCUGGGUAGAACACAGUUCUAACAAGGCCAAGUUUUUUUGGAUUUAGACCUCUUUCCAGGUCAAUAUCCAGCCUCUCCAUCCGGUUUCAGCUCUUCCUCCCCCACCUGUUUGGCCCUAAGGCCACCUGUAGCAAGAUGAACCUUAGGAGUUAAGUCUGGCUUGUCCUGCUCCUCAUUAAAGAGGCCAAGGGUUUCUUUACGGCACUGCUUUUUUUAAUUGUUACAUGUAAUUGACAUGACACAUGCCUCAGAGGCAUUUGAUGAGGUCCAAUUUAAGAGAUGAUUUUAAAAAAUUGGAAUAAAUUAAUUAAGAAGGCAGCUGCACGGGGCUGUGAGAGUGCCAAACUCUGUAAUUCAAAACCACUCAACCCACCCAACCGGCCCCACGAGCAGGAAGAACAAUCCGAGUCCAGGACUGAGAGAGUCAGGGCAAGACUGUGAGAAGUGGGGACCCGGGCAGGCUGUCAUUGAUUUCCCUGAUCGUUCUGAACUCCCUCCCCCCCAACCCCAGAAGCUGUGGAACCUCAUUUGAGAGCAAGGAAGGAGCCAGUAGGCUAACGAGAGAACGAGGAAUCUGGGGGUUGGCCAUGAGAUCUGUGGAGUUAUGGGGGAGAAGGAGAAUGAAGAGGUCACAAGGAGUGGGGGCUACAACACUGAGGGUUAGUGGGCAGAAGAAAGAAUAAGGAGAGCAAAAAAAAGCUUGUUUAGGAGGGCCCUGAGAGACCCAGGCCUGGAAGGGAGCCAGUUGGGAGGAGAUGAAGCAGGGAAAAGGUAGAGUCAGAAUGUGGGGGUGGUAGCAUGAUGCCUGAGGCCUCAGCUUUUAAUGGAGGUGCUAAUUAAACUCCUGACCUGAGGUCAUUGGCAGUCCUAUGGCAGCUUUACACAGGAGUUGGGAUAAUAACAAUAACAACAAUAAUAAUAACAAUUAAGGAUAAUGAGACUUUAUCUGUAGCAAGUUGUUCCUAAAGCUUUGUAGGCAUUAAGUUAUUAAUUCUUCCUUACCCUCAGGGCUAUGUUUUCUCCCGUGCUCUUGGGAUGGGUGGGAAGCAUCCAUGGGAAGCAUCCUGCGUUUGGUUUUAGACUACUGUGUCCGUCUCCAUCCUGCCAGGCUCAGUACCCUGUGCUGCCUGGCUUAGUUUAAAAACUCUAGUGCUCUUGUGGACCAACUGUUGUGAGGUCUCCAGUGUCUGUACAAAGUAUUUAAAUUGGUGCUCGCUGGGAAACAACUCCUCUCCAAACACUAUAUAGACAAAUUGUCCUACUUGCCAUUGCCCCGUUCUAUCUCCCGGCUUUGUACAGGCCGGUCCCCCAGGUUGGGAGGCCUGCUUGGAAUUCCUAAUUUCCUUUGGGACUCUGCGCAGGUGCCACAGGGUUUUCUCUAAUCCACCUCACACCAGAUUAUUAGUGUAUCCUAGUAUGCCCCGCCCCCCCAUUCACAAAGGACUUUAUUUUGUAUUUAUUCGUUUUUAUACAUGUGCUAUUUCCUUCUCGGGUAGACUAGAGAAUAUCCCCAAAUGCCAUGAUUUUGGGACACCCAUGUCAGCUCCUUAAGUGCUGGGACACUUUGUCUUUGUAUCUCUGUAUCCCAGCCAUAGGACAUACAGUGAUGCAUCUUAUAGUGGACACUUGUUGAAUUGAAUUACUGGGCCAGAUAUUUUACAGAGAACUGACCACAGCAGGAUCUUGAACCCACUUGGUCUUUAUUGGGGGGGGGGGGUCAAGUGAUACCAUCUCCAAGGAUUUGAAGGAUUUUUUCUUUAAUUUCAAGCUGGAAUUUGUAAUGAACUUCCAAAAAUGGAAAUGGGAUUGUUUCUUAGAGUGAUGCUUUUGCUGUCAUUGGAAGUAUUUAAACUGAGUUUGGGUAAGGAUGUUACAGAGGAGAGUAUUGGAUGCCUUGGCCUCUGAGAUCCCAUGAUUCAAGAUGACAUAGUUGUGGAGGGCCAGGUAACAGUUAACAGAUAUCUUUUGAUCCCCUCGUGUGGAUAAAACAGUACAUGAAGCCUGAGACAAAGAAGGCAUAGCAUUUGCCUUGUAGUCACUUAUGAAAUUAAUGGGAGAGACAGGGAGCACAGACACAAAGGGAUGAGAAUAAUUCCAGAACAUUAAUCAUCAUUCAAUUUCAAUUGAUCAAUGAUGGACAGAAGCAGCUACA